rnacentral:rRNA from 1 species
UACGAAGGGGGCUAGCGUUGUUCGGAUUUACUGGGCGUAAAGCGCACGUAGGCGGAUCGUUAAGUCAGGGGUGAAAUCCUGGAGCUCAACUCCAGAACUGCCUUUGAUACUGGCGAUCUUGAGUCCGGAAGAGGUGAGUGGAACUCCUAGUGUAGAGGUGGAAUUCGUAGAUAUUAGGAAGAACACCAGUGGCGAAGGCGGCUCACUGGUCCGGUACUGACGCUGAGGCGCGAAAAGCGUGGGAGGCAAGCAAGG